CUUUCUAUCACCCAAUUUUAGUAUUGAUUUCUUCUUUAGCCGAAGAAGAUGGUAGUAGCGGUAGAGGUCUUAGCGGAUUCGUCGAGAAGAUUAACUCAAGUAUUCGUAACUCUCAUACAUAUCGGCCUCUCGACAAAGCCGCCUCCCUCCUACUUUUCGUUUCCAGAGAUAUGAAACAAGAUUUGGACAUCCAAGUUCCAAAGAAGAAGAAGAAAAACUUGAUUGCUGCUGUCCAGAAGGAGAAAACUGAAAAAACGGUACCAAAUUAGCUAGAAACUAGCAGUUCUAACUCAUCAGAUUCUUCUGAAUCUAAGGAAGAGCAAAAGACUAAGAAAAACCUUGCAAAGGAACCUUCAUCUACACUAGAGGAUGACUCUUCUUCUGAAUAGGAAGAUGAUUCUUCUUUGGAUGAGGAACUUGCCCCUGCAAAGAAGAGACCCGAAUCUCUUGAGAAAGACAAUGUAUAGAGCAGCUCAUGUUUUCCCAACCAAAUGAGUUAAGAUCAGAUAAGCGGAUCAAUCAACAAUUAAAACUUUUAUAUUCAUUUCAUGUUUCUGAUUUCGAAAUUGUCCAAACGUAUCAACGAAUCAUAUGAUGACAAAAGAAGAAUUGACUCUAUACCUACUGAUGCAGGGAAAAACAAUCUUCAAAGCCUUAUUAUUUGAUUGAUCUAAGAAACAAAUAAAAAAGAGAGUUGAUUGAUCUAAGAAACAAAUACAAAAGAGACUAACUCUCUUUUUACUAAUAAAAGAAGAUGAAGACAAUGAUUUUUUUUUGGUACAGAUGAAGAGAAAGAGGAGGAAAAUUUUGAGAUUCUCAGGAAUGAGGAACCAGUUAUCAAAAUUGCAUGUCCCGGUUUGUUGUUUGCGUCCGGAUAAUACUCUUGUUUGGUUAAUUCUUUUGGUAUUUUUUGGUUCGUUCGACAAAAGUAAUAAUAAUGUUGUUUGUCCAUGUGACUUACGAUUGUUUAAUUAAAAUACAAAAAACA